UGGGGAAUUUUGCGCAAUGGGCGAAAGCCUGACGCAGCAACGCCGCGUGGGUGAUGAAGGUCUUCGGAUCGUAAAACCCUGUCGUCAGGGACGAAGGUUGUGUUCCUAACAUGGAUGCAACUUGACGGUACCUGGAGAGGAAGCCCCGGCUAACUCUGUGCCAGCAGCCGCGGUAAUACAGAGGGGGCAAGCGUUAUUCGGAAUUAUUGGGCGUAAAGGGCGCGUAGGCGGUGGUUUAAGUGAGAUGUGUAAUCCCCGGGCUUAACCUGGGAACUGCAUCUCAGACUGGAUCGCUAGAGUGCUGGAGAGGGUGGUGGAAUUCCACGUGUAGCGGUGAAAUGCGUAGAGAUGUGGAGGAACACCAGUGGCGAAGGCGGCCACCUGGACAGUAACUGACGCU
rnacentral:rRNA from 1 species